CCUACGGGAGGCUGCUGUAAGGAAUAUUGGACAAUGGCCGCAAGGCUGAUCCAGCCAUCCAGCGUGCAGGAAGAAGGCCCUAUGGGUUGUAAACUGCUUUUGUCAGGGAAGAAACCUGUGGAUUUACUCCGCAACUGACGGUACCUGAAGAAUAAGCACCGGCUAACUCCGUGCCAGCAGCCGCGGUAAUACGGAGGGUGCGAGCGUUAUCCGGAAUUACUGGGUUUAAAGGGUGCGUAGGCGGCCAAGUAAGUCAGGAGUGAAAGUUUGCGGCUCAACCGUAAAAUUGCUUUUGAUACUGCUUAGCUAGAAUCAGGAUGAGGUUAGCGGAAUGUGGCAUGUAGCGGUGAAAUGCAUAGAUAUGCCAUAGAACACCAAUUGCGAAGGCAGCUGGCUAGACCUGUAUUGACGCUGAGGCACGAAAGCGUGGGGAGCGAACAGGAUUAGAUACCCUUGUAGUCC
rnacentral:rRNA from 1 species